rnacentral:rRNA from 1 species
AUGAUUCAACAGCACAAUGUUGAGCAUAUCAAGUACUUUGCAAUUAUGUGGAAAAAUAGGAAGAGAUUCGUACCUGUCUACUUCAAGAAUCACUUUUAUCCGUUCAUCCAGACAACAGCCAGAAGCGAAGGCACCAAUGAUGUAUUCAAAGCAAAUGUAGGUUCAACUCAAAGUGUGAUUGCUUUCGUGACAAAGUUUGAUAGAAUAUCACAAAGCAUUGAAGAAAAAAGAAAAGAAAAUUAUUCUAUCACAAGAAGAACUUCUCCAACAAUGUGGAGUGACUGGGCAUUAGAAAAGCAGGCAGGAAGACUAUAUAACAAAGGCAUUUUUUACAAAUUUCAGCAAGAGUUGAUGAAUUCAACUAAGUUUCACAUGGUUGAAGUUGAAAGAAACAAACAAUAUGAGGUGUUCAAAUCACCAACGCAAGCGCUAUUUGACUAUAACCCCAGAACUUUCAUAGUCAUGGUGGACAUAGACUCUAAAACUUUCACAUGCAUAUGUGGUAAGUUUGAAAAAGACGGCAUACUAUGCUGUCAUGCACUCAAAGUGAUCCAAGCAUUGAACAUUGAUGAGAUAGCAGAGAAGUAUUUCAUUGAUAGAUGGAGACCUGAAGAGAAGAAAUCAGAACAAGUCAGUGAACAAGUGACAAACCUUGAAGAUUUGGAUGUUCAAAUGGCUUUCUUCUCAUUCUCUAGAAGGCUCACUGAGUUAGCUUCUGAAGCAUCAAAAAAUCCUGAAAGGAGGAAAGUUAUGCGUGAGCAGAUAACCAGUUUGGAGAAAUUAAUUAUGGGCAUACCUUGCAUACCAAAAGGCGAGGAACCAAAGAGUUGUUCGUCAGAAGUAGCAUCAGACACUGCAUUAGCUUUGAGUUUGGGUAGCAAUUCUGAAAACACACUAAAGGAUCCGGUAUACACAAAACCAAAAGGGAGAAUGAAGAAAACAGGAAGGCAAAAGAGCAUAGUUGAGGAAAUUAUAGCCAAACCAAAAAUGACUUGCUCUGGGUGUGGCAAACAAGGUCAUAGGAUAACUGGAUGUAAGCCAACAGAAGAGAAUGCAAUGCAGAAAAUUAACAAGAGAGCUAGAAAGGAAAGCAUUGCAUUAAAUUCAGAUGAUGAGAAGGCAAAGACUGCAAAGAAGACUAAAUGCAUUGAAAGAAAAGAAGGCAAUGCGAAGUCCAAGAAGAAGGCAUUGUAA